rnacentral:rRNA from 1 species
UACGUAGGGGGCUAGCGUUGUCCGGAAUCAUUGGGCGUAAAGCGCGCGUAGGCGGCCCGGUAAGUCCGCUGUAAAAGUCAAAGGCUCAACCUUUGAAUGUCAGUGGAUACUGCCGGGCUAGAGUCCGGAAGAGGCGAGUGGAACUCCUGGUGUAGCGGUGGAAUGCGCAGAUAUCAGGAAGAACACCGACGGCGAAGGCAGCUCGCUGGGACGGUACUGACGCUGAGGCGCGAAAGCUAGGGUAGCGAACGGG